CCCCUCUCAGGAUGGCAUCUGGAGAGUUUCCAGUACCCUACCAGUAUCAGCUACUGGAGGGAGAGUCAAGCAGAGGCAAACCCAUUCCACUCCUAGCUUGGGCAGUGACUAGCGAGUGGCAGGCAAUCUGCUACAAUC